UCAAGUAAUUAAGUGCAUGUGGUGGAUGCCUUGGCAGUCAGAGGCGAUGAAAGACGUGAUAGCCUGCGAAAAGCUCCGGGGAGGCGGCAAAUAUCCUUUGAUCCGGAGAUGUCUGAAUGGGGGAACCCACCUACUUUAAGGUAGGUAUUGCAACAUGAAUACAUAGUGUUGCAAGGCGAACGAGGGGAAGUGAAACAUCUCAGUACCCUUAGGAAAAGAAAUCAAUUGAGAUUCCCUCAGUAGCGGCGAGCGAACGGGGAUCAGCCCAUUAAGUUAUGUGUGUUUUAGUGGAACGCUCUGGGAAGUGCGAACGUAGAGGGUGAUAUUCCCGUACACGAAAGGGCACACAUAAUGAUGACGAGUAGGGCGAGGCACGUGAAACCUUGUCUGAAUAUGGGGGGACCAUCCUCCAAGGCUAAAUACUCCUGACUGACCGAUAGUGAACCAGUACCGUGAGGGAAAGGCGAAAAGAACCCCUGUGAGGGGAGUGAAAUAGAUCCUGAAACCGCAUGCAUACAAGCAGUGGGAGCACCUUCGUGGUGUGACUGCGUACCUUUUGUAUAAUGGGUCAGCGACUUAUAUUCAGUAGCGAGGUUAACCGUAUAGGGGAGCCGUAGAGAAAUCGAGUCUUAAUAGGGCGUUUAGUUGCUGGGUAUAGACCCGAAACCAGGCGAUCUAUCCAUGAGCAGGUUGAAGGUUGGGUAACACUAACUGGAGGACCGAACCCACUGUCGUUGAAAAGCCAGGGGAUGACUUGUGGAUAGGGGUGAAAGGCUAAUCAAGCCUGGUGAUAGCUGGUUCUCCCCGAAAGCUAUUUAGGUAGCGCCUCGGACGAAUACCAUAGGGGGUAGAGCACUGUUUCGGCUAGGGGGUCAUCCCGACUUACCAAACCGAUGCAAACUCCGAAUACCUAUGAGUACUAUCCGGAGACAGACUGCGGGUGCUAACGUCCGUAGUCAAGAGGAAAACAAUCCAGACCGCCAGCUAAGGCCCCAAAAUCAUAGUUAAGUGGGAAACGAUGUGGGAAGGCAUAGACAGCUAGGAGGUUGGCUUAGAAGCAGCCACCCUUUAAAGAAAGCGUAAUAGCUCACUAGUCGAGUCGGCCUGCGCGGAAGAUGUAACGGGGCUAAAACUAUGUGCCGAAGCUGCGGAUGUAUACUUUGUAUACGUGGUAGGGGAGCGUUCUGUAAGCCGAUGAAGGUGUGUUGAGAAGCAUGCUGGAGGUAUCAGAAGUGCGAAUGCUGACGUGAGUAACGACAAAACGGGUGAAAAACCCGUUCGCCGAAAGACCAAGGGUUCCAGUCCAACGUUAAUCGGGGCUGGGUGAGUCGACCCUAAGGCGAGGCCGAAAGGCGUAGUCGAUGGGAAAAUGGUUAAUAUUCCAUUACUUCUGUGUAAUGCGAUGAGAGGACGGAGAAGGCUAAAUCAGCCUGGCGUUGGUUGUCCAGGUGAAAGGAUGUAGGCAUGUAUCUUAGGCAAAUCCGGGGUACUCUAUGCUGAGAUCUGAUAGCAAGCUGUACUUGUACAGCGAAGUGGUUGAUGCCAUGCUUCCAGGAAAAGUCUCUAAGCUUCAGUUACACAGGAAUCGUACCCGAAACCGACACAGGUGGUCAGGUCGAGUAGACCAAGGCGCUUGAGAGAACUCUGCUGAAGGAACUAGGCAAAAUGGUACCGUAACUUCGGGAGAAGGUACGCUGUUGUUGGUGAUGGAACUCGCUUCCUGAGCUGACGACAGCCGCAGAAACCAGGCCGCUGCAACUGUUUAUUAAAAACAUAGGCACUCUGCAAACACGAAAGUGGACGUAUAGGGUGUGAUGCCUGCCCGGUGCUGGAAGGUUAAUUGAUGGGGUUAGCGUAAGCGAAGCUCUUGAUCGAAGCCCCAGUAAACGGCGGCCGUAACUAUAACGGUCCUAAGGUAGCGAAAUUCCUUGUCGGGUAAGUUCCGACCUGCACGAAUGGCAUAAUGAUGGCGGCGCUGUCUCCAGCAGAGGCUCAGUGAAAUCGAAAUCGCUGUGAAGAUGCAGUGUACCCGCGCUAGACGGAAAGACCCCGUGAACCUUUACUGCAGCUUGACACUGAACUUUGACCUUACUUGUGUAGGAUAGGUGGGAGGCUUUGAAGCUGGAACGCUAGUUCCAGUGGAGCCGUCCUUGAAAUACCACCCUGGUAAUGUUGAGGUUCUAACUCUGUCCGUGAUCCGGGACGAGGACCGUGUCUGGUGGGUAGUUUGACUGGGGCGGUCUCCUCCUAAAGAGUAACGGAGGAGUACGAAGGUGCGCUCAGCGUGGUCGGAAAUCACGCGUAGAGUAUAAAGGCAAAAGCGCGCUUAACUGCGAGACCCACAAGUCGAGCAGGUACGAAAGUA
rnacentral:rRNA from 1 species